rnacentral:rRNA from 1 species
UUCUUUAAGACAAACAAUUUAAAGUACAACCUGCUCAAUGUAGAUCAUAAAUAGCCGCAGUUUACUGUGCUAAGGUAGCAUAAUCAUUAGCUUUUUAAUUAAAAGAUAGAAUGAAAGGUUAUAUAAAAUAUAGGCUGUCUCUAAAAACUACAAUUAAUUUAAACAAAAAGUUAAAAUUCUUUUAUUUAUAAGAAAGACGAUAAGACCCUAAUAAACUUUAAAUUUAGCUGGGGCGGCAAAUAAAACAAACCUUAAUAAAACUUGUAUACACAAAUCUAAUAAAAUUAAAUUAUUAAGUUACUAUAGGGAUAACAGCGCAAUCUUUUUUAAAAGUUCUUAUCAAAAAAAAGACUUACGACCUCGAUGUUGAAUUAAUUUCCUUAGUAAAUUGGCGCAAAAGCCAUUUAAAGGUAGUCUGUUCGACUAUUAAAAAAUU